rnacentral:rRNA from 1 species
UAUGUCCUACGGGGGGCAGCAGUCGGGAAUAUUGCGCAAUGGAGGAAACCCUGAUGCAGCAACGCCGCGUGAGUGAAGAAGUAUUUCGGUAUGUAAAGCUCUAUCAGCAGGGAAGAAGAAAGACGGUACCUGACUAAGAAGCCCCGGCUAACUACGUGCCAGCAGCCGCGGUAAUACGUAGGGGGCAAGCGUUAUCCGGAUUUACUGGGUGUAAAGGGAGCGUAGACGGCUGUGCAAGUCUGAAGUGAAAGCCCGUGGCUCAACCGCGGAACUGCUUUGGAACCUGUGCAGCU